rnacentral:lncRNA from 1 species
UUCUUUCAAGAAUACGCAAAUAUGGUGGUCUUAGGCAGUCUCACCUUAGAUGCUAAAAUCUUUCAAGAAUGUGAGUUCUUCAAGACUUUUGAAGAAUCAAAAUUAAAGGUAUUCAUAUGCAACCCUUCAAGAGAGGUUUAUCCAUCAUUAGUCAAUAUGUUCUAUUCAAAUUUAUACUUGAUGGGAUUAUCGACUCUAAAGGGAGAAAGCA